rnacentral:miRNA from 1 species
AUCUUGUUCCCAGAGUAUGCCUGUUCGCGGGUUAUGUAAUCAUGCCACUACAUAACCCGCGAACAGGCAUACUCUGGGAACGAGAUUGUGCC